AAGCCGCUAUGACGUAGGCGAGCCGACGUCUUGAACUCGAGCUGACCUACGCGCACGCGCACACUUUAUAUAUAAGGAGUGGGAGGUGCAACAGCUCACAACCAUCUGAACGCUCGCAGCGAACGGACCGUUGAAUUGUUAAAAUAACCUUCAAAUUUCAAAAUGUACACAAAUCCCUUUGAACGUAAACACUCGUCGUUGAGGCAGGCCCUUGACCGCUUCAUCAGAGGCGAGACCCGGAUCAGCUUCAGGAAGAAGACGGACUUGUCCAAAUCUUCAAGCAGCAGCACGUCUUCCAUGACGUCGUCUACAAUGGACUACAAACCUAAGUUUAAUGAGAAGAGGUGAAGAGACCGUGUGACUGUGUAGUGAUUGUGAUAUAAUUUUGCAAAUUCCGCACUCAAAACAGGUUGCGAGUUGUUGGAGACCGGUGGAGUGACGUCAGAUACGUGAGGACCAGUGAACGAUUGACUAUACCGCCAAAAUGAUUUAAUAAAACCUUUUUUUAAGAA